rnacentral:rRNA from 1 species
UAAAACUUGAGAGUUUGAUCCUGGCUCAGAACGAACGCUGGCGGCAUGCCUUAUACAUGCAAGUCGAACGAGAAAGUCACUUCGGUGGCGAGUAGAGUGGCGCACGGGUGAGUAACGCGUAGAUGAUCUACCCUUCAGUCUGGGACAACUCUUGGAAACGAGAGCUAAUACCGGAUAAAACCUUCGGGUUGAAAGCUUUAGUGCUGGAGGAUGAGUCUGCGUACCAUUAGCUUGUUGGUGGGGUAAAAGCCUACCAAGGCGACGAUGGUUAGCGGGUCUGAGAGGACGAUCCGCCACACUGGAACUGAGACACGGUCCAGACUCCUACGGGAGGCAGCAGUAGGGAAUAUUGCGCAAUGGGGGAAACCCUGACGCAGCAAUGCCGCGUGAGUGAAGAAGGCCCUCGGGUCGUAAAGCUCUUUUAUGGGGGAAGAUGAUGACGGUACCCCAUGAAUAAGCACCGGCUAACUACGUGCCAGCAGCCGCGGUAAUACGUAGGGUGCGAGCGUUGUUCGGAAUUACUGGGCGUAAAGGGCGUGCAGGCGGAUUGGUAAGCCGGAGGUGAAAGCCCGGGGCUCAACCCCGGAGGGUCUUUCGGAACUGCCAGUCUUGAGAGGGUCAGGGGCCAGCGGAAUUCCUGGUGUAGAGGUGAAAUUCGUAGAGAUCAGGAGGAACACCGGCGGCGAAAGCGGCUGGCUGGGGCCACUCUGACGCUGAGGCGCGAAAGCGUGGGGAGCAAACAGGAUUAGAUACCCUGGUAGUCCACGCCGUAAACGAUGGGCACUAAGCGUCCGACGGGUUCGACCCUGUUGGGUGCUGCAGUUAACGCGUUAAGUGCCCCGCCUGGGGAGUACGGUCGCAAGACUAAAACUCAAAGGAAUUGACGGGGGCCCGCACAAGCGGUGGAACAUGUGGUUUAAUUCGACGCAACGCGAAGAACCUUACCUGGGUUUGACAUCCCCGGACGACACCAGAGAUGGUGUUUUCUCUUCGGAGACCGGGUGACAGGUGCUGCAUGGCUGUCGUCAGCUCGUGUCGUGAGAUGUUGGGUUAAGUCCCGCAACGAGCGCAACCCUUGCCCUUAGUUGCCAGCAGUUCGGCUGGGCACUCUAGGGGGACUGCCGGUGACAAGCCGGAGGAAGGUGGGGAUGACGUCAAGUCCUCAUGGCCUUUAUAUCCAGGGCUACACACGUGUUACAAUGGGGGUUACAAAGGGCAGCGAAACGGCAACGUGGAGCGAAUCCCAAAAAAACCCUCUCAGUUCGGAUCGCAGUCUGCAACUCGACUGCGUGAAGCUGGAAUCGCUAGUAAUCGCGGAUCAGCACGCCGCGGUGAAUACGUUCCCGGGCCUUGUACACACCGCCCGUCACACCAUGGGAGUUGACAGGGGCAGAAGCCGCCGAGCCAACCUUCGGGAGGCAGGCGUCCAAGCUCCGGUUGAUGACUGGGGUGAAGUCGUAACAAGGUAGCCGUAGGAGAACCUGCGGCUGGAUCACCUCCUUUCU